UACGAAGGGUGCAAGCGUUACUCGGAAUUACUGGGCGUAAAGCGUGCGUAGGUGGUUUGUUAAGUCUGCUGUGAAAGCCCCGGGCUCAACCUGGGAAUGGCAGUGGAUACUGGCAAGCUAGAGUGCGGUAGAGGGGUGUGGAAUUCCCGGUGUAGCGGUGAAAUGCGUAGAGAUCGGGAGGAACACCAGUGGCGAAGGCGGCACCCUGGAACGCAACUGACGCUGAGACGGCGAAAGCGUGGGGAGCAAACAGG
rnacentral:rRNA from 1 species